rnacentral:rRNA from 1 species
UACGGGGGGGGUAAGCGUUGUUCGGAAUUACUGGGCGUAAAGGGCUCGUAGGCGGCCAACUAAGUCAUACGUGAAAUCCCUCAGCUUAACUGGGGAACUGCGUGUGAUACUGGAUGGCUUGGAUUUGGGAGAGGGAUGCGGAAUUCCAGGUGUAGCGGUGAAAUGCGUAGAUAUCUGGAGGAACACCGGUGGCGAAGGCGGCAUCCUGGACCAAUAUUGACGCUGAGGAGCGAAAGCCAGGGGAGCAAAGCGGG